ACCGUUUGAAGCACGUUGGAGCCCUCGUGAAUGGACUCGCAUACUUGAGCCGGUAUAAUUCAGUAUAUGAAGAAUGGGCAUCUCCAAUGAUCCUUGUGCCGAGGCAUCAUCUCUUCCUCAUGUCGUGCUUCUUCAUGCUGUCGAUUCUUGCGCUCACACGAUCGUUGCAACAUGUAGAGGAUCCGCAAGAGCAAGGCUUUGAAGACGCUCCUGAGCAGCAGCAGUGCUUUGAGG